CCUACGGGGGGCAGCAGUGGGGAAUAUUGGACAAUGGGGGCAACCCUGAUCCAGCCAUGCCGCGUGUGUGAAGAAGGCCCUCGGGUUGUAAAGCACUUUCAGUGAGGAAGAACGCCUGGUGGUUAAUACCCAUCAGGAAAGACAUCACUCACAGAAGAAGCACCGGCUAACUCCGUGCCAGCAGCCGCGGUAAUACGGAGGGUGCGAGCGUUAAUCGGAAUUACUGGGCGUAAAGCGCGCGUAGGUGGCUUGAUAAGCCGGUUGUGAAAGCCCCGGGCUCAACCUGGGAACGGCAUCCGGAACUGUCAAGCUAGAGUGCAGGAGAGGAAGGUAGAAUUCCCGGUGUAGCGGUGAAAUGCGUAGAGAUCGGGAGGAAUACCAGUGGCGAAGGCGGCCUUCUGGACUGACACUGACACUGAGGUGCGAAAGCGUGGGGAGCAAACAGGAUUAGAUACCCCUGUAGUC
rnacentral:rRNA from 1 species